GAUGAACGCUGGCGGCGUGCCUAAUACAUGCAAGUCGAGCGAACAGAUGAGGAGCUUGCUCCUCUGACGUUAGCGGCGGACGGGUGAGUAACACGUGGAUAACCUACCUAUAAGACUGGGAUAACUUCGGGAAACCGGAGCUAAUACCGGAUAAUAUAUUGAACCGCAUGGUUCAAUAGUGAAAGACGGUUUUGCUGUCACUUAUAGAUGGAUCCGCGCCGCAUUAGCUAGUUGGUAAGGUAACGGCUUACCAAGGCAACGAUGCGUAGCCGACCUGAGAGGGUGAUCGGCCACACUGGAACUGAGACACGGUCCAGACUCCUACGGGAGGCAGCAGUAGGGAAUCUUCCGCAAUGGGCGAAAGCCUGACGGAGCAACGCCGCGUGAGUGAUGAAGGUCUUCGGAUCGUAAAACUCUGUUAUUGGGGAAGAACAAAUGUGUAAGUAACUAUGCACGUCUUGACGGCACCUAAUCAGAAAGCCACGGCUAACUACGUG
rnacentral:rRNA from 1 species